AUACGAAGGGGGUUAGCGUUGUUCGGAAUUACUGGGCGUAAAGCGCACGUAGGCGGAUUGGAAAGUUGGGGGUGAAAUCCCAGGGCUCAACCCUGGAACUGCCUCCAAAACUAACAGUCUAGAGUUCGAGAGAGGUGAGUGGAAUUCCAAGUGUAGAGGUGAAAUUCGUAGAUAUUUGGAGGAACACCAGUGGCGAAGGCGGCUCACUGGCUCGAUACUGACGCUGAGGUGCGAAAGCGUGGGGAGCAAACAGGAUUAGAAACCCCAGUAGUCC
rnacentral:rRNA from 1 species